AUGCACGGCGGGCCGGGGCAAACAGCGGUGCGGGUCGUCAGGGGCCAGGGCCCGCCGCACCCGUCCAUGCCGGGGAGCUACUUCGGUGACACCGCAGUGAUCGACGACCUCCUGACGGAGGGCCCUAGCCUGACGUCGAAGGCCGUCGGCCGGGCACAGGGCACGUACGUGCUGGCCGCCAUGGACGUCCCCGUGCUGGCGGUGAGAGUGACGGUGGUAUCACCGAGGGGCCGUACAACGGGAGCACCCUUGUCAUCGCCGGCCGCGACGACAUCUCCCAGGAGGUGA
rnacentral:rRNA from 1 species